CCGAAAGACGAGUGGCGAACGGGUGCGUAACGCGUAUGCAAUCUGCCUUUUACUAGGGUAUAGCCCAGAGAAAUUUGGAUUAAUCCCCUAUAAUAUCAUUUAAUCGCAUGAUUUUAUGAUUAAAGCUUCGGCGGUAAAAGAUGAGCAUGCGUCCUAUUAGUUAGUAGGUGAGGUAACGGCUCACCUAGACUCCGAUAGGUAGGGGUCCUGAGAGGGAGAUCCCCCACACUGGUACUGAGACACGGACCAGACUCCUACGGGAGGCAGCAGUGAGGAAUAUUGGACAAUGGACGAAAGUCUGAUCCAGCUAUGCCGCGUGCAGGAUGACGGCCCUAUGGGUUGUAAACUGCUUUUAUACAGGAAGAAAAACUCCGACGUGUCGGAACUUGACGGUACUGUAAGAAUAAGGAUCGGCUAACUCCGUGCCAGCAGCCGCGGUAAUACGGAGGAUCCAAGCGUUAUCCGGAAUCAUUGGGUUUAAAGGGUCCGUAGGCGGUUUUUUAAGUCAGAGGUGAAAUCCUGCAGCUCAACUGUAGAAUUGCCUUUGAUACUGAAAGACUUGAGUUAUUGUGAAGUGGUUAGAAUGUGUGGUGUAGCGGUGAAAUGCAUAGAUAUCACACAGAAUACCAAUUGCGAAGGCAGAUCACUAACAAUAUACUGACGCUCAGGGACGAAAGCGUGGGUAGCGAACAGGAUUAGAUACCCUGGUAGUCCACGCCGUAAACGAUGGAUACUAGCUGUAUGUCUACUUCAGGUAGAUGUGUGGCU
rnacentral:rRNA from 1 species